CAGUGGCGGACGGGUGAGUAACACGUAAGAUUUGCCUUAGAGGGGACAACAACUGGAAACGGUUGCUAAUACCCCAUAUGCUUUCGAGUGAAAUGGAUUUUUCCGCCUAGAGAGAAGCUUGCGGCUGAUUAGCUUGUUGGUAAGGUAAUGGCUUACCAAGGCGACGAUCAGUAUCUGGUUUGAGAGGACGAUCAGACACACUGGAACUGAGACACGGUCCAG
rnacentral:rRNA from 1 species